rnacentral:rRNA from 1 species
UACGUAGGGUGCAAGCGUUGUCCGGAAUUAUUGGGCGUAAAGAGCUCGUAGGCGGUUUGUCGCGACUGCUGUGAAAACCCGAGGCUCAACCUCGGGCCUGCAGUGGGUACGGGCAGACUAGAGUGCGGUAGGGGAGAUUGGAAUUCCUGGUGUAGCGGUGGAAUGCGCAGAUAUCAGGAGGAACACCAAUGGCGAAGGCAGAUCUCUGGGCCGUAACUGACGCUGAGGAGCGAAAGCAUGGGGAGCGAACAGG